rnacentral:rRNA from 1 species
CCUGGCUCAGAACGAACGCUGGCGGCAGGCUUAACACAUGCAAGUCGAGCGCCCCGCAAGGGGAGCGGCAGACGGGUGAGUAACGCGUGGGAAUCUACCCUUUACUACGGAACAACUGAGGGAAACUUCAGCUAAUACCGUAUGUGUCCUUCGGGAGAAAGAUUUAUCGGUAAAGGAUGAGCCCGCGUUGGAUUAGCUAGUUGGUGGGGUAAAGGCCUACCAAGGCGACGAUCCAUAGCUGGUCUGAGAGGAUGAUCAGCCACACUGGGACUGAGACACGGCCCAGACUCCUACGGGAGGCAGCAGUGGGGAAUCUUGCGCAAUGGGCGAAAGCCUGACGCAGCCAUGCCGCGUGGAUGAUGAAGGUCUUAGGAUUGUAAAAUCUUUCACCGGGGACGAUAAUGUACGGUACCCGGAAAAGUAAGCCCCGGCUAAUUAAAGUGC